ACCGGGAUUGCCUCAGUAACGGCGAGUGAAGCGGCAAGAGCUCAAAUUUGAAAUCUGGCCCCUUCCCCGGGGUCCGAGUUGUAAUUUGGAGAGGAUGCUUCGGGUCCGGUCCCGGUCCAAGUGCCCUGGGAUGGGCUGUCGGAGAGGGUGAGAAUCCCGUCUGCGACCGGUGGCUGGGCCUGGGUGAAGCUCCCUCGACGAGUCGAGUUGUUUGGGAAUGCAGCUCUAAAUGGGUGSYAAAUUUCAUCUAAAGCUAAAUAUGGGCCGGAKACCGAUAGCGCACAAGUAGAGUGAUCGAAAGAUGAAAAGCACUUUGGAAAGAGAGUCAAACAGCACGUGAAAUUGUUGAAAGGGAAGCGCUUGCGAUCAGACUCGCCCGGGGAGGUUCAACCGUGCACUUGUGCCGGUGCAUUCCUGCCCGGGCGGGCCAGCGUCGGUUUGGACGGCCCGUCAAAGGCCCCCGGAAGGUAGCGCCCCGCAUGGGGCGUCUUAUAGCCGGGGGUGUCAUGCGGCCUGUCUGGACCGAGGAACGCGCCUUCGGGCUCGGACGCUGGCGUAAUGGUCGUAAGCGGCCCGUCUUGAAACACGGACCAAGGAGUCUAACAUCCACGCGAGUGUUCGGGUGUUCAAAACCCGUCCGCGCAGUGAAAGCGAACGGAGGUGGGAACCCUCUCCCCGGGGGGUGCACCAUCGACCGAUCCUGAUGUCUUCGGAUGGAUUUGAGUAGGAGCGUGGCUGUUGGGACCCGAAAGAUGGUGAACUAUGCCUGAAUAGGGUGAAGCCAGAGGAAACUCUGGUGGAGGCUCGCAGCGGUUCUGACGUGCAAAUCGAUCGUCAAAUUUGGGUAUAGGGGCGAAAGACUAAUCGAACCAUMUGGUAGCUGGUUCCUGCCGAAGUUUCCCUCAGGAUAGCAGUAACGAGAUCAGUUU
rnacentral:rRNA from 1 species